UACGGAGGGUGCGAGCGUUGUCCGGAAUCACUGGGCGUAAAGUGUGCGCAGGCGGCGUUGCAAGUCGAGUGUGAAAUCCCCGAGCUUAACUUGGGAAUUGCGCUCGAAACUACGAUGCUCGAGUAUGGCAGAGGAAGGUGGAAUUCCACGUGUAGCGGUGAAAUGCGUAGAGAUGUGGAGGAACACCGAUGGCGAAGGCAGCCUUCUGGGCCAAUACUGACGCUCAUGCACGAAAGCGUGGGGAGCAAACAGG
rnacentral:rRNA from 1 species